UACAGGGGGGGCAAGCGUUGUUCGGAAUUACUGGGCGUAAAGGGCUCGUAGGUGGCCAACUAAGUCAGACGUGAAAUCCCUCAGCUUAACUGGGGAACUGCGUCUGAUACUGGAUGGCUUGAGUUUGGGAGAGGGAUGCGGAAUUCCAGGUGUAGCGGUGAAAUGCGUAGAUAUCCGGAGGAACACCAGCGGCGAAGGCGGCAUCCUGGACUGGUCCUGACACUCAUGAGCGAAAGCGUGGGGAGCGAUCCGG
rnacentral:rRNA from 1 species